UACGGGGGGAGCAAGCGUUGUUCGGAUUUACUGGGCGUAAAGGGCGCGUAGGCGGCUUUGUAAGUCACUUGUGAAAUCUCUGAGCUUAACUCAGAACGGCCAAGUGAUACUGCAAUGCUAGAGUGCGGAAGGGGCAAUCGGAAUUCUUGGUGUAGCGGUGAAAUGCGUAGAUAUCAAGAGGAACACCUGAGGUGAAGACGGGUUGCUGGGCCGACACUGACGCUGAAGAGCGAAAGCCAGGGGAGCAAACGGG
rnacentral:rRNA from 1 species